rnacentral:rRNA from 1 species
UACAGAGGUCCCAAGCGUUGUUCGGAUUCAUUGGGCGUAAAGGGUGCGUAGGCGGCGCGGUAAGUCGGGUGUGAAAUCUCGGGGCUCAACUGUGGGCGGGCAGCUGAUACGGGCAUCACUGGAGUUCGGCAGGGGAGACUGGAAUUCCUGGUGUAGCGGUGAAAUGCGCAGAUAUCAGGAGGAACACCGGUGGCGAAGGCGGGUCUCUGGGCCGAUACUGACGCUGAGGAGCGAAAGCGUGGGGAGCGAACAGG